UAGUUAUUGAAUUAAAAUAGAUUAAUAUUUGUGCCAGCAUUCGCGGUUAAACAAUUUAUUUGAACUAAUUUUUUAGGUUUAUAAUUUAUAAUAAAAUUGAGGUUUACAAUUUUAAUAUUUGGGUGGAAUUUAUAUUUUUAAUUAGUUUCUCAAAAUAAUUUUAAGUAAUUUUUACAUUAAACUAGGAUUAGAUACCCUAUUAUAAAUUAAUACAAUUUUAUCUGAAUGGUAUAAGUUAAUUUCUUUAAAGCUCAAAGAAUUUGGCGGUAAAAUAUCUAAUUAGAGGAACCUGUAGAUUAAUCGAUAAACCACGAUAAUUAAUACUUUUAUAUAAUUUGUAUACCGCUAUAUUUAAAUUUGUUUUGAAAAAAUAUUAUUUUUAACUAUAUGAAUGAUGUAAAUUAGGUCAAGGUGCAGUUUUUUAAAAGUUUUUAUGGGUUACUUUUAAUGUUAAAAUUGUAGGAAAAUGUUUUAAGAGAUUAUUUGAAUUAGGAUUUAAAAGUAAAUUUAUUUAAUAUAAUGAUUUGAAUUUUGCUCUAUUUUAUGUACAUAUCGCCCGUCACUCCUGAUUUAAGUCAGGAUAAGUCGUAACAAAGUAAUUUUACCGGAAGGUGAAAUUAGAGAUU
rnacentral:rRNA from 1 species